rnacentral:tRNA from 1 species
GUCGGGAUAGCUCAGUUGGUAGAGCAGAGGACUGAAAUCUCGUUAACACGGUGUCAAUUA